rnacentral:rRNA from 1 species
AGCUUAUUCAGUCAGUAUACUUCCGUCGUCAGCCUACCACUUGAGCGUUAGUGGGCKUAAUGUUUUUUCAACAACACGUCAGGUCAAGGUGCAGCUAAUAAAAUGGAAAGAGAUGGGCUACAUUUUCUWAUCUAGAGCACACGAAAGACUACUGAUGAAMACUAGUCGSAAGGCGGAUUAGUAGUAAAUAGGAA